UACAGAGGUCCCAAGCGUUGUUCGGAUUCACUGGGCGUAAAGGGUGCGUAGGUGGUGAGGUAAGUCGGAUGUGAAAGCUCGGAGCUCAACUCCGAAAUGGCAUUGGAAACUACCUUGCUCGAGGGUUGGAGGGGGGACUGGAAUACUUGGUGUAGCAGUGAAAUGCGUAGAUAUCGAGAGGAACACCUGCGGCGAAGGCGGGUUGCUGGGCCGACACUGACGCUGAUGCGCGAAAGCCAGGGGAGCGAACGGG
rnacentral:rRNA from 1 species